UACGUAGGGUGCAAGCGUUAUCCGGAAUUAUUGGGCGUAAAGAGCUCGUAGGCGGUCUGUCGCGUCUGCUGUGAAAACUGGGGGGCUCAACCCCCCAGCCUGCAGUGGGUACGGGCAGACUAGAGUGCGGUAGGGGAGAUUGGAAUUCCUGGUGUAGCGGUGGAAUGCGCAGAUAUCAGGAGGAACACCGAUGGCGAAGGCAGAUCUCUGGGCCGUAACUGACGCUGAGGAGCGAAAGCAUGGGGAGCGAACAGG
rnacentral:rRNA from 1 species